GUGCGUCUUUGUGUCGCAUUGUAAUAAUGCUCUAAUGCAGAAGAAAAAAUAAAUAAAACAGUCUUAUUUACCAGAUACAUCAUACAAGUAUACAAUAGCUCCAAAUUAUCCAUAAUUAUUAUUGUAUGUAUUAUUCUGAGAAUUCAAAGUACCAGUUUAUUGAGAUGGGUUUAAAUAACCUACUAGUACUGUAGCGGUGCAAUAUGUGAAUGGUCAAUGAACAUGAAUUUAAAAUGGCACAAACUAUACAUAGCACAUCACAUAAAGAGAGGACGUUUGAAUGGCCUUUGCCCAGCAGAGGUAGAUAAAGGUUAUAACAAACUGAUUACUGACCAUAAACACUUAAAUAGUAGAUCAGUUGAACAAGAGCCCACCUAUUAAGUGCUUUUUAUACAGCGCGCAAUCUUUAUUCUCUACAGAACCAACUUACCAUCCAGUUAUUGCUCCACUAUAUUUAAAUACACUAUCUAUUUAAAAUCUACAUUCUACCACUAUUUAAGGCUUUAUUUUAUUAUUCAUUCUACAAGUCUUGUUUUUGCAAUAUGUAGAUGAAAUUACAUAGUGUCCCCAACAAAAAGCACCAUGUUUUUUAAUAACUUAAAAAUGGAAUUGAAACUCAUGGAAAAAAUAUCACUAAACAAAUAUAUUUUAUUUAAUAUAUUUUUUUGAAUUUUUUUUUUUGUCUGGUGCAUUUUCAAACUAUUGCGCUACUAUGU